AGCAGGUUGAUUUUGAACGCGUUCAAGAAGAAUCCAAGACAACGAAGAAAUGGUGAACUCGAAACUGCUUUUGAUCACUUUUCUGUGCGUCUAUGUCAUCAUCAGUGAAGCAAAACCCUCCAAACGUUCGGUGCAUGUCGAUAACGGGAAAAAUCUAUACAAAAGACUUGGAGUUAUAUGGUAUCCUGGCAAGGUCGAAUCGCCUACCUUCCCUACCUUCAAGCAGCUGAUCAUGACACAUCAUCAAAGGCGAAGGACGAAAAUGAGCAGCAACAACCGAACGAGAUUAGGAUCAAGAAAGAGCAAAAAUAGUAACAAGAAGGAAUGAUGACUUUGAUACUGGGUACUGCUUACUUAUUGUAAUCGUGUGUUGCCCUGUACUAUUCUUCAACCACAACCAUCCAGCAACCCGCAUUUGCAAUUCCCCAAUAGAGGCUUUGCACCUUUACGUGAUGGCAGCCAUGACAAGAGGCACAACAAUAGAGUCUUUCUUUYCCGGGGAAAAUAAAAUAUUACUUAUAAUUAAUCAGAGUAGACCAGAGUAGACUCAUGGCUGCCAUCUCGUGAUGGUGCAAAGCCUCUAGACUUUUGCUGYUUCUAUUACAACAAAGCUAACUUUAUUUUAAUCUUCAAAAAUGAAUCAAAUUGUAUAGUAAAAUUUCUUCAAUGUUGUUUUAAUGUUAUUUUCCUCUCAUUUAUACAAUAAAUAAGCUUUACUCAUG